AAGAUUAUAUAUACCCUCAGGGAUCAUUUCUAUAGCUUUUUUUUCUUAAGAAAUGUGUUCCUAGAGUGUUUGGCAUCACAAACCACUAAGAGAAUUUAUAGUGCUCUCUUCUGAGCAGGAAGCAGAUAGGAGGAUUGCUUUUAACAGCUGCUCUCUGUCAUUGAUGAGUGUACCUUCUCUCUCUUGUAGAACUGGAGGGAAAAAACGGUUUAACAGAGGU